UACGUAGGGGCCUAGCGUUGUCCGGAUUUAUUGGGCGUAAAGAGCUCGUAGGCGGUUCGGUAAGUCAGGUGUGAAAUCUCCACGCUCAACGUGGAGGGGCCACCUGAUACUGCCGUGACUCGAGUCCGGUAGGGGAGUGUGGAAUUCCCGGUGUAGCGGUGAAAUGCGCAGAUAUCGGGAGGAACACCAGUAGCGAAGGCGGGUCUCUGGACAGUUCCUGACGCUGAGGCACGAAGGUCAGGGGAGCAAACGGG
rnacentral:rRNA from 1 species